rnacentral:rRNA from 1 species
AUACGGUAGGGGGCAAGCGUUAUCCGGAAUUACUGGGUGUAAAGGGAGAGUAGGCGGCAUGAUAAGUUAGAUGUGAAAGCCUUGGGCUUAACCCGAGGAUUGCAUUUAAAACUAUCAAGCUAGAGUACAGGAGAGGUAAGUGGAAUUCCUAGUGUAGCGGUGAAAUGCGUAGAUAUUAGGAAGAACACCAGUGGCGAAGGCGACUUACUGGACUAGAAACUGACGCUGAGGCUACGAAAGCGGUGGGGAGC